rnacentral:rRNA from 1 species
GACAGAGGAUGCAAGCGUUAUCCGGAAUGAUUGGGCGUAAAGCGUCUGUAGGUGGCUUUUUAAGUCCGCCGUCAAAUCCCCAGGGCUCAACCCCUGGACAGGCGGUGGGAAACUACCAAGCCUGGAGUACGGGUAGGGGCAGAGGGAAUUUCCGGUGGAGCGGUGAAAGUGCGUAGAGAUCGGAAAGAACACCAACGGGCGAAAGCGACUCUGCUGGGCCGACACUGACACUGAGAGACGAAGCUAGGGGAGCGAAUGG